GUGAAUCAUCGAAUCUUUGAACGCACAUUGCGCUCUCUGGUAUUCCGGGGAGCAUGCUCGUUUCAGAAUCAUUAAUAAUCUCAAAGAAACGGUCAUUGUUUUUAACGAUGCCGCUUCUUUUGGAUGUGAGCCUCUUUGCCGUUUGGCAAUGGCUUGAAAAUGAUUGUGUUUGCACCAGCUAUACGGCUCGGUUCUUAACAAGUGCAACAGAUGUUAACUCAUUCGUUAUCUCUUGAAGAGGAUCGGUGUUGAAUACUGGUUGUUCACUCAAAACCAAAACUUUUGGCGGUCCUUGGAUCG
rnacentral:misc_RNA from 1 species